GAUGAACGCUGGCGGCGUGCUUAACACAUGCAAGUCGAACGAUGAAGCCCAGCUUGCUGGGUGGAUUAGUGGCGAACGGGUGAGUAACACGUGAGUAACCUGCCCUUAACUCUGGGAUAAGCCUGGGAAACUGGGUCUAAUACCGGAUAGGAGCUUCCACCGCAGGGUGGGUGUUGGAAAGAUUUAUCGGUUUUGGAUGGACUCGCGGCCUAUGAGCUUUUUGGUGAGGUAAUGGCUCACCAAGGCGACGGCGGAUAACCGGCCUGAGAGGGUGAACGGCCACACGGGGACUGCGACACGGACCAGACUCCUACGGGAGGCAGCAGGGGGGAAUCUUGCACAAUGGGCGCAAGCCUGAUGCAGCGACGCCGCGUGAGGGAUGACGGCCUUCGGGUUAUAAACAUCUCUAAGUAGGGAAGAAGCGAAAGUGACGGUACCUGAAGAAGAAGCACCGGCUAACUACGUG
rnacentral:rRNA from 1 species